rnacentral:lncRNA from 1 species
GAGCUGGCUCGGCAGAGUCAAUAGUACAUCUUGCCUGAUGCUGAGUCAAACUUAGGCUCUAAUUUUCCUGGGUGUCAGCUGACUGCAAAAACAGUGCCACGUGUCCUGGAAGGAGCGCAGGCUGAGCCAAGGCUUGGGAGCCGAUGCUGCUUGUCCUCCUGCCUGACGAUGAGUAAGUGAGCUGGGAGUGUAAAGGCAGGCAGAUGGAAUCUGGAUGUCUCUCAAACCUCAGUCGGCCCCAGCUCCCUUAAUUCUCACAAAAAUGUGUCAAGUUCUUAACGUCAACUCAGUUCAGUACAGUGGGACUUGAAGGUGGAUGAUAGUGUUCCUUUCCUGACUUGCAGUUUACUCUUGGCAAUGCAAGAGUGAUUCCACUGUUGCUCCCUGCCCCGUUCAUUUUUUGCACUGGUUUAAGGAUCCAUACAGUAAAGUUUGUUAGAUGUGCGUUUUCUUAGCUUCAGGCUUCCACUUGGAGGGGUUUUCAGUAGCUGGGUUUUUGUUGUUGUUGUUUUGUUUUGUUUUGUUUUUUGCCCUUCAGGAAAGACUUGAAGCUUCCAUUGGAUUAGUGACCAAGUGGAAAUUCUUCUCUGUAAUUAAAAGGGCAGAAUUCCCCUAAAGCAGUAGUUCUCAACCUGUGGGUCAUGACCCCUUUCUUAGUCACUGCUUAUCAGAUAUUUACAUUGUAAUUUGUAACAGAAGCAAAAUUGCAGUUAAUGAGGUGGCAACAAUAAUUUUAUAGUUUGGGAUCACAACAUGAGGAACUAUAUUAAAGGGUAGCAGCAUUAGGAAGGUUGAGAAAUCCUACCUAACACCUUCCUUCCCUAUACAACCUUGUAUUUAUGUUAGGAAACCCUAGAUGUCAUAGGCUGUACUGUCUUAAAUUCUAUUCUUUAGUAAGACUGAAGUCCCCAUUUCUAGUAACUGUGACCAUAACCCCCUAGCCUCAAGGUGUUCCACAACACUGUUCUUUACCAAAGUCACUCCCAUGAAACCUUAAUUCUAGACAAAACCUUUUUCAGGCUUCCUUAAAGCUAGUGGCUAUUUGAUUUUGAACAGCUUAUAUGUUCAUGACUUACAUGAAGCAACAAAGAAGAAGAGAAAAGGACAGAACAAAAUAACAGAGGCUGGGUCUUUAUGACACUGUGAUCUGUCUUCACAAACUUGCUUCAUGUCAGAAUCCUGUUUAACCCAGGAACUCCCUAUAGCCCCCUCCAGCCAGUCCUGUGGCUCCUGUCAAGUGACUCAAGCUUUCAAGAAUCUUUACAGCUGAUGUAACCUUCUCAUGCAGCACUAUAAAAUGUACAUUAGCCACAAAAUGUUCAUGAUUACUAAGACAUUUAGGUAUUUCACAAUGGUAAGUAGAGCCCAUCCAAGGUUUACUAGCAGAGACAAAAACAUUAAAACAAAAUGAUCAAGAAAUUAAAAUAUCUGGGAUGAUUUUAAACCUUAGAGCCUCUUGUAUUAAAGGGGGUUCCUAAAGAUAAUUUUGUUCCUGUUGAGCUGGGGCACAUUAUGCAAAUGUCCUAUUUUAUUAAAACAUGUAGCUAUAGAAUGAUAUUGGAAAUGGUGGUCUCCAGAAUAUUGGUAUUAUUUGGCUUUGAGUUUGGAAUAACUAAACAGUAGCACAUGGGUGAACAGUUUCUAAGGCACUGACAAGCCCAUUGUACAUGUGGCGGAUAAAAUCUGGAAAUGCUACAGAACAGCUGUAUGUGUCACUUAUAAUUUGUUACUAAAGACAUUCUAAGAAAAACACUUGCUUUUCAGUUAUUUGAUUUUUUGGGGUGGGUUUUGCUUUAUUAUUGUCCCCAUUGCUCUCUUAAGAGUGCAGUGGUAACAGAUAAUGAAAAAUUUGUGAUUGUUGAUGAAUUCUCUUCAGCAAUAUUGUUUUCUGAAUGAUAAGCUAGUGAUUCAGGUUGAUUUCUGUCCAUGGGGUAGUACUCAUUUAGAAAGAAAAGUAAAAGAAAAUUAUUUUUAAAUAAAAAAAAAAGAUAAUUUCCAGUAUUUGUGGAAUUUGCUUACUUCUCGUUUUUGGUUUUUGGGUUUUUUUUUUUAAUCAGCAAGUUAAGGGAAAAGGCAGCAGGGGGGAAAAGCAUAUACUGGUUCAUUCUGUGAGAUUCUAGCUUCUAAAAAUUCAGAAUCUAGGCACUUUAUCUGAAAUUUGAAGUACCUUCUAGGAACCUAAAAUACUUUCAGGAUAUUGUUAGUAUAUGCUUACUGGUUGGUCUUUGACUGGUUGGUUGAUUGAUACAUUUGUUACCAUCUUGGGACAAAAGCCUCUGUCAAUUCAUUUUGCAGCUGCAAAUUUGAAAGGUGAUGCUGGCUAUCUGGCUUCUGAUUUUUCCAUUUUCUUUCAUCACCUCUAACUUUUUUUUAUGAUGCCAUGUCACAAAAUAUCUAGUCAAAUAUAGUGCAAUUUUCAAAAAACUGAACACCUGUAGUAUUAGAAACCUAUGAAAAUUAGCUCAUUUCGGCACUAUUUUUAAAAAUCUUACUUUGUCUCAGAUGUUUAAUUAUAAACCAUCUUUUAGAAAAUGAAAAAGAGCUAUCCCAGUGGUACAUACCUAUACUCCCAGCUAUAAAGCUGAGACUGAGACAGGAGGAUCAGUAGAAUUCAAGAGUCAAAGACCAACCUAGGCAACUUAACAAAACACCAUCUGUGGUGGUUUGAAUACGCUUGGCCCAAGGAGUUGACACUAUUAGGUAUGGCCUUGUUGGAGUUGGUUAGCUUUGUUGGAAGAACUGUGUCAGUGUAUGGGUGGGCUUUCAGACCCUUUCCCCAGCUGCCUGAAGACAGUCUGUUCCUGGCUUCCUUUCGAUUAAGAUAUAGAACUCUCGGCUUCUCCCACACCAUGUCUGUCUGGACACUGCCAUGCUUCCUGCCAAAAUGAUAAUGGACUGAACCUCUAAACCUGUAAGCCAUCCCCUAUUAAAUAUUGUCCUUUAUAAAAAAAAAAAAAGUUGCCUUGGUCAUGCUGUUUCUUCACAGCAAUGGAAACUCUAAGAAACCAUCUCAAAAAAAAAAAAAUUUAAAGGAAAAAAGUUAAAAAAGGAAAAAA